rnacentral:rRNA from 1 species
CAGCCGCCACGGUAAUACGGAGGGAGCUAGCGUUGUUCGGAAUUACUGGGCGUAAAGCGCGCGUAGGCGGUUACUCAAGUCAGAGGUGAAAGCCCGGGGCUCAACCCCGGAACUGCCUUUGAAACUAGAUGACUAGAAUCUUGGAGAGGUCAGUGGAAUUCCGAGUGUAGAGGUGAAAUUCGUAGAUAUUCUGAAGAACACCAGUGGCGAAGGCGACUGACUGGACAAGUAUUGACGCUGAGGUGCGAAAGCGUGGGGAGCAAACAGGAUUAGAUACCCGAGUAGUCCCUGUCUCUUAUAC